AAAGCCCUAGCUUAAAUUAAAGUACCUGGUUUGCACUUAGGAGAUGCAGGGUAGUGUCCUGCGGGUUUUA
rnacentral:tRNA from 1 species